AAGAAAUGAAAAGCAAAAGGUCUAAUAAAGUUUAAGAGUGUUUGUACAAACUGUUAUUCUCCCUCCUCCAAAUCUCUGGCAUCACAGCAAAUGUCAAGUGGGUGUUGUGUGGAACUGAGAGAGACCAAUCUCAAGAGAACAUCCGCCUUCAAUAAGUGGAACUUCAGAUUACACAAAGCUGCAGGCAUAAAAGCAGCUGCAAAAGACAGUUCACUCUGAAAAUGAAACAAUUUUCUCUAGAAAAAUGAACAUGAAAGUUAAACUACCAUCCUCACCCUUGCCUGGAAGAUCUGAGAAAGGAGCUGGAGAUAAAAGUGUCCACUCUUUUGUCUCUGCAUGGGUGACCAUCAUUGUACGUGGGGGACCACUCUACCAACUAAUUAGAAGUGCCUGAAAAUGUUCCCAGGCUCCGCUGCUGGACCAGAAAACAAAACAUGUUCCUGCUAAUAAAUUCCAUCAUUCUCUGUAACUAGAUGGCUGUGUGAAAAAGUGCCUGUUGGAAAUGAUCCUGGGAAUAUUUAUAUUCCCCAGCUGGUUUGGGAUUCUUUUUUGUAUGAGUGCUGGAUGGCAUGUAUACCAAAAGUGUGCCAGGAAAUGGUUUGGAAAGUUAGGGAUUGCCUAGGUUAGAAAAAGGCCCAAUAAGAACAGAUCCAUGGCAGAAAACUUCUGGUAUUGAGGAUUACAUCCACACGCAUUCAAAGUCUUUGUAUUUCAAAGUUUUACUGUUUCCUAAGUCUAGCCUGCUCCUGCAGACAGAAUGUCCAUUAGCAGUCAAAGUGCAUUAGAUGCCCUCUGAGACUGUUCCUCCAGGUUUAUUUUUAUCUGAAAGGAAUUCAUUUUGCACAUUCCAAACAUGAUGUGAACCAAAGUGCAGGAAGUGGGAACUACUGGGAGAUUUGCCUCAGUAGUGCACCCUGAUCUGAACUAAAAUGCUACCUCACAUACACUCAGAGGCAACUGUGUCCCACUGUCUGAGAACAUUCCCAAUCACAGUUUAAUUUACCAGUUCAUCCAGUUCAAUUGCACAUAAAAAUUGUGUGAGGCUUUAGCAUACUAUGUGGAAAUUUGGUUUAAAAUUUUAUUGCUAAAAUUGAGUAAAUCUCUACUGAAUGCUUGAACUGUCAUUCUUAGAGAGCCUAGAAUAAAUUUGGGAAAGUUUUCAAGUGGAUGCAAAAAACCACAACUGUUAUAUAUAGACUGUGUUCAUGAAGUGUUUUAAAUGUGUCUCACUAGUGUAUCUGAGAAGGGAAAAAAAGGGGGGGGGAGAGAGAGAGAAAGUGUGUCUCUGAAUGUUAAAGGGAAAAAGAAAGGCCUGAACAGUAUUUCUUCUUAUAGAUUAGAAAAAUCUCCUCAGUAAAUUUAUAACCAAAAUUUCCAGUCCUGACUACAGCAAGUGAUGUUUGGCAUGCUGUAUCUGCAGGUCAUGAGCUUUAAUUACAUCACAUUAUCUUCCACUGUAAGAUCUGGACGGCAGUUGCCUUUAGGUUGGAAUCCAAACUGAUAAGGAGCUUUUUAUCACUAGCACAGUACAUCAGACAUAGUUUGUAAGGAACAGAUAGUCAUCUGCUCUACCAACCUGCCUAUUCUAGUUGAAGUUGCCUCCAGGGAAUAGAUACCAGAAACUUUACAUUUAGAACACUUAAAAAGAAAGGUUCCUGGCACAUGUGAUGGCAUAAGUGGUAUUUAAAGAAAAGCUGUGUGAUAUAGUACCUAAAUAAUUUUAUAGUCCUACUGCUAUUUUAGUAUGCUGGUAGGAUAUCUGAACCACUUGCUCUUGACUUGUACCUUGUUAGUAAUGAUGUUAUGCAUAAUGCAGCAAAAGGAAUUCUUCAUUCCUGAGCAGGGGAACAGAAGUGAACAGAAGUGCCUUUUACAACUCAUCUCUUAUGGAUCAAAGGAAACCUCAAGCCUGCCUUAUCAUGAAAGCGAGUUUAGCGUCCUUGAGCUUUGCUAUUACAGUUAUACAUACUUAGCCCACAGUUUUUGCUAUGUUUGCAUUAACUGAAAUUGCAUGUUUAUAGAUUGCACAGGCUUGAUUUCUGCUAGUAGUUAGAUGUUCAGUGUGUCUAUUAAAAUAACGUAUUUUCAGGACUUACUGUGAAAUAUAUACAGAAAGUAUUAAAAAAUAUGAAGAUAUUAUUUUGGGCUAAAAUAAUCUAUAAAAAAAUCCCAAACCCAAUUAUUUUAAAAAAUAGUCUGUGAGGGGAAAGAUUAGAGGAAAAGAAAAUACCAGUAACUGGAAAAUUAUUCUUUUUGUGUACACUUAUUACAGUUUUAUUUUCUCUAGUAGUGUUUGUGCUUCCUGUAUUUGUAAAACACAGCUUAAAAACAGUAUAGAUAUAAAGGCUGGAAGCUGGGAAAUGAAACCUUACUGUGGUCAAACUGUUAAAAUGAAUGAGGUAUUUUGUUACUAACUACAUCUAUGUUUCUGUAUGAUGUGUUUUAUACCUUCAUUCUACAUUUUGUAUGUGAAGUACAAAUCAUAUAAGUGAUAGAGUAACUACUUUACAGUUCUAAUCAAUCUCAUAAACGCUGUUUUAAAAACAAACAAACAAAAGGCACUGUAUUGUUUGAGCGUAAUGCCUUUUGGUGAGGAUCUGGUACAUUAUGGGUUUGGACAGCAUUGCUUGUCUUAUUUAGAUUUCAAGAUUUUUAGGGCAAAGUAUGUGUUUCACCUGGGUUUUGUGUCUUGCUGAGUAGUUUGACAGUUUCUACUAAAUCAUAAUAAUUAGAACAGCAAAAACUGUAAUUGGUGUCUUUGAGAAAAAAAUGUCUCAUGAAACUUCUCCUGUUGAAUAGUCAGUACAUACUUUCUUAAUUGCAGAGAGCCAUAUUAGCCAAGAAACUUCUUAUUCCUAGUCAUGCAUUUACCCCUUCCCAUCAAAUCUAUAUUGUACUCCUGUUGUGGGAAAACAGUUUACCUGGUUGGGUGGUUGUACUGCUGUUGGCCUCUUAGCUUUCAAGCCUGCAGCUAUUAUUUUUUUGCUACUUCAGCACUUCUUCAAAAGAAUUCUCAUUUUCCAGGAAAGAAUGCCAUAGAAAGGAUCCUGAAAGUGCACUCGGGGUGUAUUUACGCAUUCAACUACACUCUACUUUCAUCUGUUGUUUUUUGUAAAGCAGAAAGGUAGGAGCCAGUUUUCAUCCCAAAAGCCAUGUAGUUAUGUAAGAAACUCAGGUAGAAUUGAGGUAAUAAAUCAGGACUGGUAUUAAAAACAUGGAUCCCAAAGAACUUUGAGGCUGGAGCUGGCAUUCUUCCUGCUGGAUUUGGACCCAUGUGCAGAAAUAGUGUGUAAGUGACUGUGUAGAGAUUCCCCAUGACUGGCUUACUGUGCUGGUGCUAGCUGUUUAUCAACUUUCAGGUCUCUUUCCCAGUGACAGAGCUCUGGGUUUGGGUGCUGAAAUUGUGGUAUUCUCUUCUUCCAUGGUGAUUAGAAAAGAAACAGUAUUUUCCUACCUAGGUACUGAUGUUAAAUAUUUAUUUAACAUCACCAAAAUUGGUGAGAAAAAGAGAAUCUUCAAUGGAAAAACUAUACUGGCAGUAAGCUUUGUUUAUAGCAGUAAAUCAGGUUUUGUCUUA